GGGUGGAAGUCGCUUCAGGGUCCUAAAGAGAGGACAGAGAGAUGGAUACCACACUGCUGAUAUAGAAUACAUGGAGGACCACAAGGCUGAGGGGUCAGAGUUGGAGCUGUUGCAGAGCCUUCAUGACAGUGUGUAUGAGCAGCCCAGGACUGGUACACACGCCUCAACACACGCCUCAGAGAACAGAUCAGCAGACAGUAUGGAACCAUGCCUGACAAGGACGACAACAACAGGCCUCCAAUAACGGUCCAGCAUGGUGUUGGUGGUUGUUGUCAGUUCUCCAGCUGGACCCUGCCUACCAGACCACUGUGCUGUCUCUGCCCUCCCUCAAAGAUCGCCUGGGACACCUGCGCAUCGUUCUGGAAUACUUCUCCCAGAGCUAGAGAAGAGGAGUAUGAAGGAGAGAGAGGGAUACAGCGAUACUUGGUUUCUGAUGCCAAUCCAGUACCCCACACAGAGGAGAAUCUCUACAGACUGGAUAAUAUGAACCAUACACAAUACAGAAAUACACACAAACGCACAUCCACUAAUAUAUUACACACACACACUAAUAUAUUACACACAUACACACAAGUAGAAAGAGUUUUAUCACUUACAUAAAUACCAUAUUGAAUUGCUGGUGAAAGAGAGGAGCUUUAGGUUUUGGGAGAAAAAUAACUCAAUAUACUUACAAAUUACUAUAUCAUGUUUUGACUGUCCAGCUCGCUAAUAAUCACUUAAAUUAAAGCUAGACAGUCAGGGAGUAUCGUAAAUUCCCAAAACGAUGGAUAGAGGACUUUCUCUUGCAAAUUUUAACGGCGAAGAAAUAAUCAAUAUUCAUUGCUGCCCUCCGGAACUCGUUGAAGACCAAAUGCAGCCCCCAGGGCAAAAUUAGUUUGACCCCCCUGCAGUAGAGGGUUGACCUCAACCUGUUCUGAUUCAUACCAAAGGAUGUAAACCUGGUGUUAAUGUCUCAGACAACCACUAGGUGUCCCUGUUCUCACUCCUGUUUCCCCUAUCAGCCAAGCAUAAAGAACACUGCCUUUCGCCAUGGCAACUGACCUGCACUCAUGAUGUAACCAGCCAUGUCAUAAUCAGAUGAUCUGAUUAGUCUGACUCCUAUGGCUCUAAAGUGCUUGAUGAAAUGCUAUUAAAGGAGAGAUGAGAUGAUAGCGGGAUAGAGAAAGAGUGACACAGAGAUCGCUCAGUCUGACAGAGCUGAAAACAACUUGAUUUCCUGGAUAAUGCACAUUAUGCUAUUAAAGAGUUUGGGUUAAUGUUAUUGAUAGUUCAAAAUAAUCAUGUUGUCUUUUUGGGGGGGUUCUUUAAAACCUUGGCAAGCUCCCAUAUUGUGACAAACACAAUGAGCAGCCAUUUGGUAUCUAACAAUCGGCCACUAAAUUAGGAUCAUAAAUUCUUUAUUUUAUUACUAGCACUAUACUAUAAUUGCUAUUGCCGUUACUAUAUAUUUCCUGCAAUGAAGCAUCGUUACUAAUAUUGAAUAGGAUGUCAUAUUAGUGUGUUAUUGCAAUAAUGAUUUAUUAUGAAACAUUGAAACAUAAAAAGGCUCCGCCUGGGUGAAAAUCGUAAUGUGAAUUAAAAGCUGCUAUUGGCUGACUUCUGUCUCUGUAGUGUUGAUGAAGAUGUAUUGAACAGGCCACAUCCCAAAUUGGCACCUUAUUCCCUUCAUAGUGCACUACAUUUGACCAGGGCCUCUAUAGGACUCUGGUGAAAAGUAGUGCACUAUAUAGGGAAUAGUUGGGAUGCAGCCCAGGUGUUAAAUAAGAGAGACGAGAUGGAGGUGGAAAGAGGAACUUUACAUACACCUUGGUCAAAUGCAUUUAAACUCAGUUUUUCGCAAUUCCUGACAUUUAAUCCAAGUAAA